AAGCAGCAGGAUGUGUGUCUACAAGUCAUCCACACUGUUACAAAAAGUCAACUAGGCCAGAAGAGGACUUCAUUUGUGAAUGGGAUGAGAGAAACCCUGAGAAGAGUCAAACACACACUCUUCAUAUAUGGGACAGUGAAAAGAAACAAUUUCUUACACAUAUGAACUGUGGCAAACAAGCACAGACAAACAUUCUCUUGGAGCAACUAGGAAUCACCAACAGAAAGACAGACAUAUGGGUACAGACACAAGUCGGCAACCUCACCUGUAAUUCUAGCAAAAUCUCAGUCAUCCUUGAAUGCAUGGUCAAAUACAGUAAGCCUCAGAUUCUCAGAAUGAAAAGGUUAGCUGGAAUCCUGAAAUUCACACUGGACAAACCCAAGGAUAACAAAGGUGCUAAAUAUGAGAUCAGAUGGAGGGAGAGAGGCUCUGAAUGGCAGAAUGUAAGACGUUUCAGAAAAUCUGGUAUUUUAAAUUCCUGAAAU
rnacentral:lncRNA from 1 species